rnacentral:rRNA from 1 species
CAAAAACAUAGCUAUAUGUACUAAUAUAUAGUGAUUUCUGCUCAAUGAGGUUUAAAUAGCCGCAGUACCCUGACUGUGCAAAGGUAGCGCAAUCAAUUGGCUUUUAAUUGGAGUCCGGUAUGAAAGAAAAUAUAAGGGGGCUUCUCUAUCAGUGAUAGUUUAUGAAUUUACUAAUUAAGUGCAAAUACUUAUAUUUAAAUAAUAGACGAGAAGACCCUAGAAAUUUUAAGAAUUAGUCUUUUUGUUGGGGCAACAAAGUAGUAAGUAUUAAUCUACUAUUGCUACAUGAAAGGUAUAUCUUGAAAGAUUAAAUUACUCUAGGGAUAACAGCAUAAUUUAUUAAAGUUUGUGACCUCGAUGUUGGACUAGGGAAUUAACAUUCAGAAGACUAAUAAUAGGCUCUGUUCGAGCA